GAUUUCGUAGCUCAACGGCAGAGCAUCGGUUUGUUAAACCAAAAGUUGAAAGUUCGAAUCUUUCCGGAAUCG
rnacentral:tRNA from 1 species